GAGUACGGCCAUACUACCGGGAAUACACCUGAACCCGUUCGAUUUCAGAAGUUAAGCCGGGUUAGGCCCAGUUAGUACUGAGUGGGCGACCACUUGGGAACACUGGGUGCUGUACGCUU
rnacentral:rRNA from 1 species